UGCUAUUCUCUUCUUCGAAAAUUCGAUUGCAAAUUCUACACAUGCUUGAAUGAGAGAUUAACUUGCACUUCUACAAUAUUAGUGAAAAAUCAGAGUCCUGUUUAUUGUAAAAGACCAGGUGAAGAGAUACCUCUCUGGAUGGAAGCUAUUGUAGAAUGCUACAUGACAAAACUGAGAGAUAUAUACACACUAGUAACAGUCACCUGUAGAUUUAUUGACAGUGUUUUAAUAGAUUUUCAAAAGGAGUGUUACCUGGAAAAUGCUUUCUGCACAGUCGGCUGGGCAAACCGUGAUUCACUUUUGAAGUUAUUCAAGAAAGCUAAGACUAAGCCCGUGUCACAUACUUUUGAUGA